rnacentral:rRNA from 1 species
GACGAACGCUGGCGGCGUGCCUAAUACAUGCAAGUAGAACGCACAGUUUAUACCGUAGCUUGCUACACCAUAGACUGUGAGUUGCGAACGGGUGAGUAACGCGUAGGUAACCUGCCUGGUAGCGGGGGAUAACUAUUGGAAACGAUAGCUAAUACCGCAUAAUAUUGAUUAUUGCAUGAUAAUUGAUUGAAAGAUGCUAUUGCAUCACUGCCAGAUGGACCUGCGUUGUAUUAGCUAGUAGGUGAGGUAACGGCUCACCUAGGCGACGAUACAUAGCCGACCUGAGAGGGUGAUCGGCCACACUGGGACUGAGACACGGCCCAGACUCCUACGGGAGGCAGCAGUAGGGAAUCUUCGGCAAUGGACGAAAGUCUGACCGAGCAACGCCGCGUGAGUGAAGGAGGUUUUCGGAUCGUAAAGCUCUGUUGUAAGAGAAGAACGGGUGUGAGAGUGGAAAGUUCACACUGUGACGGUAUCUUACCAGAAAGGGACGGCUAACUACGUG